rnacentral:rRNA from 1 species
AGCAGCCGCGGUAAUUCCAGCUCCAAUAGCGUAUAUUAAAGUUGUUGCAGUUAAAAAGCUCGUAGUUGAAUUUCGGGGUCAGCAGGUUGGUCGUGCCACUGGUAUGUACUGGCUUUGCUGAUUCCUCCUUCUUGUAGAACCGUAAUGCCAUUAAUUUGGUGUUGCGGGGAAACAGGACUGUUACUUUGAAAAAAUUAGAGUGUUUAAAGCAGGCUAACGCUUGAAUACAUUAGCAUGGAAUAAUGAAAUAGGACGAGCGAUCCUAUUUUGUUGGUUUCUAGGAUUGACGUAAUGAUUAAUAGGGAUAGUUGGGGGCAUUAGUAUUCAAUUGUCAGAGGUGAAAUUCUUGGAUUUAUUGAAGACUGACUACUGCGAAAGCAUUUGCCAAGGAUGUUUUCAUUAAUCAAGAACGAAAGUUUGGGGAUCGAAGACGAUCAGAUACCGUCGUAGUCUUAACCAUAAACUAUGCCGACUAGGGAUCGGAUGAUGUUAAUUUUAUAAUGA